rnacentral:tRNA from 1 species
GGCUCCAUAGUGUAGUGGUUAGCAUGUCUGCUUUACACGCAGAAGGUCCUGGGUUUGCGCCCCAGGUGGAGCCA